GACGAACGCUGGCGGCGUGCUUAACACAUGCAAGUCGAACGGAAAGGCCCUGCUUUUGUGGGGUGCUCGAGUGGCGAACGGGUGAGUAACACGUGAGUAACCUGCCCUUGACUUUGGGAUAACUUCAGGAAACUGGGGCUAAUACCGGAUAGGAGCUCCUGCUGCAUGGUGGGGGUUGGAAAGUUUCGGCGGUUGGGGAUGGACUCGCGGCUUAUCAGCUUGUUGGUGGGGUAGUGGCUUACCAAGGCUUUGACGGGUAGCCGGCCUGAGAGGGUGACCGGCCACAUUGGGACUGAGAUACGGCCCAGACUCCUACGGGAGGCAGCAGUGGGGAAUAUUGCACAAUGGGCGGAAGCCUGAUGCAGCAACGCCGCGUGCGGGAUGACGGCCUUCGGGUUGUAAACCGCUUUCGCCUGUGACGAAGCGUGAGUGACGGUAAUGGGUAAAGAAGCACCCGCUAACUACGUG
rnacentral:rRNA from 1 species